CUCUUUUAGACUUAAAUAAAAGUACUUUCUGCUCCAUGACAAUAAAUAGCCGCUGUAUAUACUGUGCUAAGGUAGCAUAAUCAUUUUGCCUUUUUAAUUAAAGGAUCGUAUAAAAGAAAAAACGAAUUUAUAACUUUACACUUCUUUUCUUAAUAAACCUAUAUUAAAAGUAAAAAUACUUUUUUAUUCAAAAAAGACGACAAGACCCUGCCGAACUUAACUUAUGUUUAACUGGGGCGGUUCAAAAACAACUUCUUAUCUCCACAUAAAUAAAAAUCAAUCUAUUAAUUCAGUUACCGCAGGGAUAACAGCAUAAUUUAUUUUAAAAGUUCUUAUAAAAAAAUAAGAUUAUGACCUCGAUGUUGAAUUAAAAUUUCUACAAACAAGCAAAAAUGUUGCAAGAUAGUCUGUUCGACUAUUAAAAUUUUACA
rnacentral:rRNA from 1 species